rnacentral:rRNA from 1 species
UACGUAGGGGGCAAGCGUUGUCCGGAAUCAUUGGGCGUAAAGCGCGCGUAGGUGGCUUCGUAAGUCCGUUGUGAAAGUCAAAGGCUCAACCUUUGAAAGCCGAUGGAUACUGCGGAGCUAGAGUACGGAAGAGGCGAGUGGAAUUCCUGGUGUAGCGGUGGAAUGCGCAGAUAUCAGGAGGAACACCAAUAGCGAAGGCAGCUCGCUGGGACGUUACUGACACUAAGGCGCGAAAGCGUGGGGAGCGAACAGG